GCCAGCCCGCUCAGAACUCAAAGGAUUGACGGGGCCCGCACAAGCGGAGGAACAUGUGGUUUAAUUCGAUGAUACGCGAGGAACCUUACCUGGGCUAGAACGCAUUCGGAAUCAGGCCGAAAGGCCUGCGCCAGCGAUGGCCGCUUGCGAGGUGCUGCAUGGUUGUCGUCAGCUCGUGCCGUGAGGUGUCGGGUUAAGUCCCAUAACGAGCGCAACCCCUACUGCUAGUUGCCAGCGGGUCAUGCCGGGGACUCUAGCGGAACUGCCAGCGUAAGCUGCGAGGAAGGUGGGGAUGACGUCAAAUCAGCACGGCCCUUACGUCCAGGGCUACACACGUGUUACAAUGGCCGGUACAGAGGGCAGCCACCCCGCGAGGGGGCGCGAAUCCCGAAAGCCGGUCCCAGUUCGGAUCGGAGUCUGCAACCCGACUCCGUGAAGCUGGAUUCGCUAGUAAUCGCGCAUCAGCCACGGCGCGGUGAAUACGUUCCCGGGCCUU
rnacentral:rRNA from 1 species